AACGAACGCUGGCGGCAUGCCUAACACAUGCAAGUCGAACGAGACCUUCGGGUCUAGUGGCGCACGGGUGCGUAACGCGUGGGAACCUGCCCUUAGGUUCGGAAUAACUCCCCGAAAGGGGUGCUAAUACCGGAUAAUGUCUUCGGACCAAAGAUUUAUCGCCUUUGGAUGGGCCCGCGUUGGAUUAGCUAGUUGGUAGGGUAAAAGCCUACCACGGCGACGAUCCAUAGCUGGUCUGAGAGGAUGAUCAGCCACACUGGGACUGAGACACGGCCCAGACUCCUACGGGAGGCAGCAGUGGGGAAUAUUGGACAAUGGGCGAAAGCAUGAUCCAGCAAUGCCGCGUGAGUGAUGAAGGCCUUAGGGUUGUAAAGCGCUUUUACCCGGGAUGAUAAUGACAGUACCGGGAGAAUAAGCUCCGGCUAACUCCGUG
rnacentral:rRNA from 1 species